UCACCUUUUCACAGUUUUCACGCUCUAUUGACCAGCAUUGGUCACGUGAGCUGACCCUGAAUGAGAAUUCGUCACACUGAUAUUAGAGUCUAACUCGAAUAGCAGUGAUUUGCAUUUGCUUCUGCAAAAGCCUUCCAAGCAAUCUAUCAAAGCAUUCUUUCAUCAUCAAAGACACAGAAGAAGAUUACUUCAGACUGAGAAUGGAGCCAAGACGAUCUACAAGAAUUCGACAGCGCCCCCGGUGGUUCAGUGACUACGUCGUGGACUUUCCUGUGCGAAGGUCCAGGGUGAAGCCGAUGGUGAAGGUUGAUGAUGCUCUUCAGCAGCCUGAGAAGGCGGCACUGC